AAUGGCCGCGGUACUUUGACCGUGCUAAGGUAGCGCAAUCAAUUGGCUCUUAAUUGGGGUCAGGAAUGAAUGGAGUGUACGUGGUUUAGCUGUCUCCUAAUCAAUUAGUUGAAAUUACUAUUUAGGUGAAAAAGCCUAGAGAAAGAAAAAGGACGAGAAGACCCUUAGAGUUUUACUUAAAAUGAACAUUGCAGUAGAGAGAUGUGUUCAGACUGGUUUUGUUGGGGCAACAUAGGAGCAUAAAUUAGAAAUAAUCUCCUAAAUUAUAUUAACCGAUUUUACUAAAUUUGAAUAAACUACCUUAGGGAUAACAGCAUAAUUUUAAAAAUAAGUUUGUGACCUCGAUGUUGGACUAGGAAACU
rnacentral:rRNA from 1 species